CUGGGGGUCAGCCUCUUCUCUCGGGUGACUAGUGAUAGGACUAGAGGGAAUGGUUUCAAGCUGCGCCAGGGAAGAUUCAGGCUGGACGUUAGGAAAUACUACUUCUCUGAAAGGGUGGUCAGGCACUGGAAUGGGCUGCCCAGAGAGGUGGUGAAGUCACCGACCCUGAAGGUGUUCAAAGAGUGUUUGGAUGUUGUAUUGAGGGACAUGGCUUAGCGAGAACCAUUGAUGAAGGGCGAACGAAUGGUUGGACUGGAUGAUCCUGUGAGUCUUUUCCAACCUUAGCGAUUCUAUGAUUCUGUAAGAAUCUUAAUUGCAGCUUGCAUAUAGAUCACAUCUGUCGUGGUGACUUUUGCCAAUAAAUAUGAG
ensembl:lncRNA